UAAAGGCAGCCAUAAUCCUCUGCACCAACUGCAGGUAACCCUAAAAAUUAAUCAGUUGUGGAUCCGAUCAAAGAGUCGGGCAGGAAAAGGGGAGAGCUCCCCGUUCCUGGUUUUCCUGUAGCUGGAUUCCCGGAACCACGAGAAUCCUUAGAAUGGGAUUCCAACUCAGCACCUUUUGUUUUGAGAUUUUGAGAAAAGUUGCUCUUUAGAGAGCACAGUA
rnacentral:lncRNA from 1 species